rnacentral:rRNA from 1 species
UGGGGAAUUUUGGACAAUGGGCGAAAGCCUGAUCCAGCAAUGCCGCGUGUGUGAAGAAGGCCUUCGGGUUGUAAAGCACUUUUGUCCGGAAAGAAAUCCUUGGCUCUAAUACAGUCGGGGGAUGACGGUACCGGAAGAAUAAGCACCGGCUAACUACGUGCCAGCAGCCGCGGUAAUACGUAGGGUGCAAGCGUUAAUCGGAAUUACUGGGCGUAAAGCGUGCGCAGGCGGUUUGCUAAGACCGAUGUGAAAUCCCCGGGCUCAACCUGGGAACUGCAUUGGUGACUGGCAGGCUAGAGUAUGGCAGAGGGGGUAGAAUUCCACGUGUAGCAGUGAAAUGCGUAGAGAUGUGGAGGAAUACCGAUGGCGAAGGCAGCCCCCUGGGCCAAUACUGACGCUCAUGCACGAAAGCGUGGGGAGCAAACAGGAUUAGAUACCCUGGUAGUCCACGCCCUAAACGAUGUCAACUAGUUGUUGGGGAUUCAUUUCCUUAGUAACGUAGCUAACGCGUGAAGUUGACCGCCUGGGGAGUACGGUCGCAAGAUU